GCGAGUGAAGUGGGAAAGCUCAACUUUGAAAUCUGGCACCUUCGGUGUCCGAGUUGUAGUCUCAAGAAGUGUUUUCUGUGCUGGUCCAUGUAUGAGUCUGUUGGAACACAGCGUCAUAGAGGGUGACAACCCCGUUCAUGACAUGGAUACCAGUGCUUUGUGAUACACUCUCGAAGAGUCGAGUUGUUUGGGAAUGCAGCUCAAAUUGGGUGGUAAAUUCCAUCUAAAGCUAAAUAUUGGCGAGAGACCGAUAGCAAACAAGUACCGUGAGGGAAAGAUGAAAAGCACUUUGGAAAGAGAGUUAACAGUACGUGAAAUUGUUGAAAGGGAAACGAUUGAAGUCAGACGUGCGUGAUGCGGUUCAGCACUGGUUCGCCAGUGUGUAUUCCGUAUCUUUGCAGGCCAACAUCAGUUUCGGUAGUCGGAUAAAGGUUAGUUGAAUGUGGCACCCUCGGGUGUGUUAUAGCUUCUAACUGAAUACGAUUUCUGGGACUGAGGAACGCAGCGCGCCGCAAGGCAAAGGUUCCGACCUUUUCGCGCUUAGGAUGUUGGUGAAAUGGCUUUAAACGACCCGUCUUGAA
rnacentral:rRNA from 1 species